UGGAUAGGAGUGAAAGGCUAAUCAAGUCUGGAGAUAGCUGGUUCUCCCCGAAAACUAUUUAGGUAGUGCCUCAUGUAUUACUCUCGGGGGUAGAGCACUGUUUCGGCUAGGGGGACAUCCCGUCUUACCAAACCGAUGCAAACUCCGAAUACCGAGAAGUAGAGCAUGGGAGACACACAGCGGGUGCUAACGUCCGUUGUGGAGAGGGAAACAACCCAGAUCGCCAACUAAGGUCCCAAAAUUACAGCUAAGUGGGAAACGAAGUGUGGAGUCAAAGACAGCAAGGAGGUUGGCUUAGAAGCAGCCAUCCUUUAAAGAAAGCGUAACAGCUCACUUGUCAAGUCGACACGCGCGGAAGAUUUACCGGGGCUAAGCUGUGUACCGAAGUUGCGAAUGCUUAUCAUUAGAUAAGCGUGGUAGGGGAGCGUUCUGUAAGCCUGCGAAGGUGUACUGCGAGGUAUGCUGGAGGUAUCAGAAGUGAGAAUGCUGACAUGAGUAACGAUAAUGCGGGUGAAAAACCCGCACGCCGAAAACCCAAGGGUUCCUGCGCAAUGCUAAUCAACGCAGGGUUAGUCGGUUCCUAAGGCGAGACCGAAAGGUGUAGUCGAUGGACAACAGGUUAAUAUUCCUGUACCGCGUUUACUGCGAUGGGGGGACGGAGAAGGCUAAGCAUACCGGGUGUUGGUUAUCCCGGGAAAAGUAUGUAGGUAGGAAAUUUUGGUAAAUCCGGAUUUCUAUUACCGAGGUACGAGACCAUCGAUUUUUUAAUCGAGAAGUUGCUGACGCCAUGCUUCCAAGAAAAGCCCCUAAGCUUCAGGUAAAACGUGGCCGUACCCCAAACCGACACAGGUGGGUGGGAUGAGAAUUCUAAGGCGCUUGAGAGAACUCUGGUGAAGGAACUAGGCAAAUUGGUACCGUAACUUCGGGAGAAGGUACGCCUUGAUUGGUGAUGGAACUUGCUUCCUAAGCUGAUUAAGGUCUCAGAUACCAGGUGGCUGCGACUGUUUAAUAAAAACACAGCACUCUGCUAACUCGUAAGAGGAUGUAUAGGGUGUGACGCCUGCCCGGUGCCGGAAGGUUAAUUGAUGGGGUUAGCCCUUGUGGCGAAGCUCUUGAUCGAAGCCCCGGUGAACGGCGGCCGUAACUAUAACGGUCCUAAGGUAGCGAAAUUCCUUGUCGGGUAAGUUCCGACC
rnacentral:rRNA from 1 species